rnacentral:rRNA from 1 species
CCUACGGGAGGCAGCAGUGGGGAAUUUUGCGCAAUGGGGGAAACCCUGACGCAGCAACGCCGCGUGGAGGAUGAAGCCCUUUGGGGCGUAAACCCCUUUCGACCGGGACGAAUGCCCGCAAGGGAGUGACGGUACCGGUAGAAGAAGCCCCGGCUAACUACGUGCCAGCAGCCGCGGUAAGACGUAGGGGGCCAGCGUUGUUCGGAAUUACUGGGUGUAAAGGGUUCGUAGGCGGUGUGGCAAGUCGGGAGUGAAAUUUCUGGGCUUAACUCAGAACCUGCUUCCGAAACUGCUGUGCUAGAGUGCGGGAGAGGCGCGUGGAAUUGCAGGUGUAGCGGUGAAAUGCGUAGAUAUCUGCAGGAACACCCGUGGCGAAAGCGGCGCGCUGGACCGUUACUGACGCUGAGGAACGAAAGCUAGGGGAGCAAACAGGAUUAGAUACCCUGGUAGUCCUAGCCCUAAACGAUCAGGACUUGGGGUGCCACCCGUUCGGGUGUCGUCCCGGAGCUAACGCGUUAAGUCCUGCACCUGGGGAGUACGGUCGCAAGACUGAAACUCAAAGGAAUUGACGG